UACGGAGGGUGCAAGCGUUAUCCGGAUUUACUGGGUUUAAAGGGUGUGUACGCGGACUAUUAAGUCAGCGGUGAAAUCUCCGGGCUCAACCCGGAAACUGCCAUUGAUACUAUUAGUCUUGAAUGUUGUUGAGGUGGGCGGAACGGGUCAUGUAGCGGUGAAAUGCAUAGAUAUGACCCGGAACACCGAUUGCGAAGGCAGCCCACUAAGCAACGAUUGACGCUGAGGCACGAAAGCGUGGGGAUCAAACAGG
rnacentral:rRNA from 1 species